AGUGAACGCUGGCGGUAGGCCUAACACAUGCAAGUCGAACGGCAGCACAGUAAGAGCUUGCUCUUACGGGUGGCGAGUGGCGGACGGGUGAGGAAUACAUCGGAAUCUACUUUUUCGUGGGGGAUAACGUAGGGAAACUUACGCUAAUACCGCAUACGACCUACGGGUGAAAGCAGGGGAUCUUCGGACCUUUCGCGAUUGAAUGAGCCGAUGUCGGAUUAGCUAGUUGGCGGGGUAAAGGCCCACCAAGGCGACGAUCCGUAGCUGGUCUGAGAGGAUGAUCAGCCACACUGGAACUGAGACACGGUCCAGACUCCUACGGGAGGCAGCAGUGGGGAAUAUUGGACAAUGGGCGCAAGCCUGAUCCAGCCAUACCGCGUGGGUGAAGAAGGCCUUCGGGUUGUAAAGCCCUUUUGUUGGGAAAGAAAAGCAGCAGGUUAAUACCCCGCUGUUCUGACGGUACCCGAAGAAUAAGCACCGGCUAACUUCGUG
rnacentral:rRNA from 1 species